rnacentral:lncRNA from 1 species
GAGGGAUAAGGCUGGAGUGGAUAGAUAGAGAGAGGGCGGAGAAGGCCGGAGAAGAAGGGUGAUGACGAGUCUUCGGCUGGCGAUGGACACGGCGUUCUGGGACCUGAACGUGUCGUCGGCGCAAAACCUGGAGGGCACGGCCCGGGCCGUCCCCGGGGAGGCGGCGCCGUUGGGGAUGGCCCGGGCGAGCCGCCUCCUCCGCCCGCAGCAGCUCUCCUUCCUCUCCCGCGCCUUCCCCCUCGGCCUCGUCCCUUCCUUCGCCCCGACCCCCCGC